rnacentral:rRNA from 1 species
UACGUGGGGUGCGAGCGUUGCCCGGAUUUAUUGGGCGUAAAGGGCGCGUAGGCGGCCACGCACGUCCGUUGUGAAAUCGCCCGGCUCAACUGGGCGGGGUCGGCGGAUACGGCGUGGCUGGAGCAAGCUAGGGGGCAAUGGAAUUCCCGGUGUAGUGGUGGAAUGCGUAGAUAUCGGGAGGAACACCAGUGGCGAAGGCGGUUGCCUGGAGCUUUGCUGACGCUGAGGCGCGAAAGCGUGGGGAGCGAUCCGG